CAGCCGCCGCGGGAAUACGUAGGGUGCGAGCGUUAAUCGGAAUUACUGGGCGUAAAGCGUGCGCAGGCGGCUUUGCAAGACAGAUGUGAAAUCCCCGGGCUCAACCUGGGAACUGCAUUUGUGACUGCAAGGCUAGAGUACGGUAGAGGGGGAUGGAAUUCCGCGUGUAGCAGUGAAAUGCGUAGAUAUGCGGAGGAACACCAAUGGCGAAGGCAAUCCCCUGGACCUGUACUGACGCUCAUGCACGAAAGCGUGGGGAGCAAACAGGAUUAGAUACCCGCGUAGUCCCUGUCUCUUAUAA
rnacentral:rRNA from 1 species